GAUUGAACGCUGGCGGCAGGCCUAACACAUGCAAGUCGAGCGGUAGAGAAGGAGCUUGCUUCUUCUUGAGAGCGGCGGACGGGUGAGUAAUGCCUAGGAAUCUGCCUGGUAGUGGGGGACAACGACUCGAAAGGGUCGCUAAUACCGCAUACGUCCUACGGGAGAAAGUGGGGGAUCUUCGGACCUCACGCUAUCAGAUGAGCCUAGGUCGGAUUAGCUUGUAGGUGAGGUAAUGGCUCACCUAGGCAACGAUCCGUAACUGGUCUGAGAGGAUGAUCAGUCACACUGGAACUGAGACACGGUCCAGACUCCUACGGGAGGCAGCAGUGGGGAAUAUUGGACAAUGGGCGAAAGCCUGAUCCAGCCAUGCCGCGUGUGUGAAGAAGGUCUUCGGAUUGUAAAGCACUUUAAGUUGGGAGGAAGGGUUGUAGUUUAAUACGCUGCAAUCUUGACGUUACCAACAGAAUAAGCACCGGCUAACUCUGUGCCAGCAGCCGCGGUAAUACAGAGGGUGCAAGCGUUAAUCGGAAUUACUGGGCGUAAAGCGCGCGUAGGCGGCUUGAUAAGAUGGGUGUGAAAUCCCCGGGCUUAACCUGGGAACUGCAUCCAUAACUGUCUGGCUAGAGUACAGUAGAGGGUGGUGGAAUUUCCUGUGUAGCGGUGAAAUGCGUAGAUAUAGGAAGGAACACCAGUGGCGAAGGCGACCACCUGGACUGAUACUGACGCUGAGGUGCGAAAGCGUGGGGAGCAAACAGGAUUAGAUACCCUGGUAGUCCACGCCGUAAACGAUGUCUACUAGCCGUUGGAAUCCUUGAGAUUUUAGUGGCGCAGCUAACGCACUAAGUAGACCGCCUGGGGAGUACGGUCGCAAGAUUAAAACUCAAAUGAAUU
rnacentral:rRNA from 1 species